GACGAACGCUGGCGGCGUGCUUAACACAUGCGAGUCGAACGGAAAGGCCCUGCUUUUGUGGGGUGCUCGAGUGGCGAACGGGUGAGUAACACGUGAGUAACCUGCCCUUGACUUUGUGAUAACUUCAGGAAACUGGGGCUAAUACCGGAUAGGAGCUCCUGCUGCAUGGGGGGGGUUGGAAAGUUUCGGCGGUUGGGGAUGGACUCGCGGCUUAUCAGCGUGUUGGUGGGGUAGUGGCUUACCAAGGCUUUGACGGGUAGCCGGCCUGAGAGGGUGACCGGCCACAUUGGGACUGAGAUACGGCCCAGACUCCUACGGGAGGCAGCAGUGGGGAAUAUUGCACAAUGGGCGGAAGCCUGAUGCAGCAACGCCGCGUGCGGGAUGACGGCCUUCGGGUUGUAAACCGCUUUCGCCUGUGACGAAGCGUGAGUGACGGUAAUGGGUAAAGAAGCACCGGCUAACUACGUG
rnacentral:rRNA from 1 species